CUUGCACAUCGUACCCAGGGCUGGGUUUACAUGGUAGGUGCCUCUAGGUACAGAAUUCUAAGGUGUUCCCCACCAUCCCUCAAAGAAAGACAAAAAAAAAGAGAAUUUAGAUUGCAGGCAUACAAAAGUUUAUAAAACAUACAUUCGUAUCUAAUAACCGCACAUACAUGUAAGCAUAUUUCUGCUUGGAAUGCAUUUUGUAUGAAUCUGUGAAUACAUACAACUGUGUAAAUGCAUACAGGGUUAGAAUACGUUUUAGAUGUUGUUAGGGUAUAGGACAGUUUAAAGUCAGAGCGGUAUUAACGUCAGUUUGAUGACAUGUUAGUGUUAAAAGGAGGGGUGUUUCGAUUUAUUGGGUUUAGUGUGAGAGCGGAGUUAAAUGUAGUACUUGUGUACAGGGGGUAUUUAAUAUUAUUGAGUUUAGGGUUACUUAAGAGUUAAGUUUUUAGAGAUUACAUGUGUUAGGUAAUAUUAGUAUUAGGUUAGUGCUCAUAACACUCCUGAUUUUGGGGUCCUGUCC